CACAGUCACUGACUGGCUAGCAACUGCAACUGCCACCGACUGCGGAGUGCCGACUGCGACCCAGUCCCCGCUGGAGUCUAAAAUUAAAUAUUGCAGCACCCGAUGGGAGAAAGGUAGCAGUUGGAUUUCGGCAGUCUGGAAUUAUAGUUUACUGCACAGAAAGAAAAUACCUACUUAUAGAUGUUAUCAAAUUGUAUCAAUAAUUCUUUACUUGAAGUUUACCUUUGAAUAUGGAGAACUCUUAAAAUACGAGUAGAUGAAAGCCGUGUUAACGUCUAUAUAAAUCUUGCUCUAUGGGAUUUCCUUAUGUCCAAAUACUCAUCAAACCCUAAUCUAAGUUAA